GCGGCGCCAUGGAAGGAGGUGUCCUUGAGGUGGUCGGGGGCGCUCUCGUACGAGUGCCUCCUCGCCAGCGAGAGGAUGGUCUUGUCGGCGGCGACGAAGUAGGCCAUCCCGGCGACGGUGCAGAUGAUGAGCGCCUGGCCGGUGGGGUUCAGGUUCGCCUUGGCCCACGGCAGCAUCCUCACGCUCGCCAGCUGCGUGAUUAAUAGUAGUUCAGUUAUGGAAACCAGAGUCCAACGUGAACGAAAAUCAACAAGUCAUGUUAGACAAAGGAGCUAGCUCACCGUUGCCGCCGCAGACGCGACCGUGGCGAGGGCCGCCGCCUUUGCUCCGGCGAGCGUCGCCUCUGAGGAAGAUUGACAAAAUAAACGCAUUGCUACUGUCAGACUAGCAGUAAACAACUUGGAAAGCGUGAUUCAGCUGUGGAUCCUGGUUAUUUAUUACCUCUGGAGCAGCGUUUGGCGAGGGCGAGCUUGUUCUCGGGGUUGGCGCCGGUGACGGUGGCCGUCGACGACAUCUUGGCCGUGAUCUUGUACAGAAACGGCUCAGUACAAGGAGUGCGAUAGAGUGAGAUGAGAUGCGCUGCCUGGCUUGUUGUUGCUUGAUGCCUCCAGGACGAGGAGCUAGCCAUGUAUUUAUAGCGAGCAAAAAGGUGGCCGCCACGCACGGUUUUGGGCGGAAACCGUGGGUGCUCUCUCUGCUCACUCGUUUGGACUUGGAGUGCGGAACUGUAUCCAAAACUAUGGUAGGGAUCCAUAGGAUUGAUGAUGUUUGUUGGUAGUAUCCUCCACUGCGCCCUCGUCUUUCUUUACACACUAAAGAUCUAAAGUUAGACAUCACAGUGCCGAUCUCAUCACAAUACAUAUAAAACUGUGGGAUGAGAAACGAAACAGAGCAUGUGCGGCUGCAAGUGCCGCCAGUUUCACUCGUGGUCGUGACUCGUUUCGGCGAGCGGCACCUUCCAGUUUGCGGGGGAAACCGGCGGCAUGUGCGCCCCAGCCUGACCAGCCCUUCUCUUUGUGAGAGCAUCUACAGCCGGACUGGUAAAUUCAGUCCCCGAUACAUCCGCCGAUGCGCCGUGGACAACGUUCGCCGGCCCUCUACAUAUUGCGUCACAUAUUUGUAUCCUCAUACACAAUAAUCAAUCAUAUAUAUCAAUCAUCUGAUAUAGUUUAUUUAAUUUCAAUAUUUUAAAGGGUUUGGCUAGAACUCAUCUAGAUGAUAUAUAAUUUGAUCUCAUUCAUUUUUUUAUGUUAUAUUACUAUUUCUUUCUUGUGCUAUUUUUUUGUGUUAAUAUGUUAUGUUGGCUCGGCUGGGCUUGUUUUUACUACGUAGCUAUAUAAUUCUCUGUGUCUUGUUGUUUUUUCUACAUUUGCAUGGCUGGAAUAUUUGAGGAAAAGGAAGAAAAUGCUUACACGCAAAUCUUCUGCGCAUGUCAACUAGGAUAUACGAUGCAUCAUGUUCACGGCUGCUUGUGUCUUUUUCUUUUUUGCAUUUGCAUGUCUACUGAUGCACAUGCAACUAGUCCGACAACCCUCAUCCCGAACCCACUUGCAAUCUCUUUGCAUCCAAUGCAAUUGCAGCCGGGUUUCAACGUUGCACAUGCAACUGGUUUGACAACCCCCACCCCUAACCCAGUUGCAGUCUCUUUGCAUCCAGUGCAAUUGCAGUGGGGUUUCAAUACUUGAAGUUGCACGUCUACUGGUGCACAUGCAACUGGUCUGAUAACCCCUGUCCCGAACCCAGUUGCAGUCUCUUUGCACCCAGUACAAUUGCAGCCGGGGUUUCAAUGCUUGAAGUUGCAUGUCUAGUAGUGGACAUGCAACUGGUCCGACAACCCCCGUUCCGACCCCAGUUGUAGUCUCUUUGCACCUAGUGCAAUUGCAGUCGGGUUCCAAUGCUUGAAGUUGCAUGUCUAGUAAUGGACAUACAACUGGUCCGACAAACCCCGUCCCGACCCCAAUUGCAGUGUCUUGCACUCAAUGCAAUUGCGGCUGAGUUAUAAAUGUUUGAAGUUGCAUGUCUAAUGUUAGACAUACAACUAGCCCGAUAAUCCUCGUUCGAUGUCAAUUGUAAUAUCUUUGUGAUCGCACUGCCUAAUGAGAAAGAAAAUCUGGGAACACAAAAUACAAGUAUAAAAAAAUUAUUUUCUAGUACAUUUAAAAAGUUAACCAAAUUUCAUCUUAGUAGAAAUUAGUUUAAAAAAUCUUUAAAUGUUCUCUUCCAACCAAACAAUGAAAACAAAGUAGAAAAUGAUAAAUAUUGAAAAAAUAAAGGUAAAAUAGGAAUAAUGGAUAAAAAAUGAAACAACAAAGAAAACCAAAAUGCAGGAAAAAAAAGUCGCUUGUUCCCUAUGGCCUAGUAUAAAGAGAAAAAAGAACUAACAUAACUGUCAUAAGCCCACACAAGUCCAGCGGACAAAAGCCCAUCACGGGAAAAAGGUGCGGCGAGGCGAAUAGAUGGGCAGCCUCAUCGCGAGGCGACUCGUCACUUCUACAAAACUCAAAUCCGGAUGUGAUUGAAUCCUAGGGUUAAAAAAGUGAAUGAGACCAAAAAAAAUCUCAGCUGAAUGAGUUUUAGCAAAACCGUAUUUUAAAACAAAAUCAAAUGAAAUCAUAGUUCGACAAGCUGGACAUGGUAAAAUAAAAUUAAUGUCCGAGCGACAAGGGAUGCCUUUUUGAUCAUUAGGUGAACAAAUUCAUCCAUGCAUCCCUGCUCGUCCAACUUGUCAUUUUCCGCCUCGGCAAUCAUCUCCGCCUGCAUUUGGAAUGUCUGCUCCGCCUGCAUCAUAGUCGGCCCCGACCUCGGGCAGGGACCCGGAGCGGCGCCAUGCGGCGUUCACACUGCACCGACGGACAAGGCGCCCCUCAGGCUGUCAUGUUUCCCGGCGAGUCCGCCUGGGGCCAAGCCGUGAGCACGACAUGGCAGGCGUGCCUCGGCGUGCCCGGGCUCCCCCAUAUCCGCCUCAUAUUUGGGUUGAAAAUGGGAGGUCAGAGUCAGCCCGGACGUUUUAGGUCGGUUUGAGAGGCCCGUCCGGAUCACAAUUUUGUGAUCGGGCAGUGAUCGAGCGGACUGCCCGGGGGUUUGAGGGGUCCGAUUGUAGAUGCUCUUACAGCCGGACCUCUUAACCCCCUCUCAAACGCCCGGUUAGUGACUAGUCACAGAAAAGCGACCCGGACUUCUUAAACUGAGACUCAAACGCCGAGGCUGAUCCUCACCCCUCAUAUACAACCCAAAUAUGGGGCGGAUAUGGGGACUCACGUACGUGCCCGCCAUGUCGGACGCGAUAGCCCGACCCCAUCAUAAUUUACACAAAAUGUACCAAACCCUUCGUCCUCCCCCGCCUCCCUACUGCCAUUACCGUGCCCAAGCCCUCGCCAUCCCGCCCCCUUGCUUGCCAUCCUCAACACCGGCUUCUAUCCAUCGUCGUAGAUAACGUCCAGUUCAUCCCCAACCGCCUUGUCGGAGGCUGUGACCGCCUCGUUCGUCGAUGUCCGAUCCUCGACUUCGUCGUGCAUGCCGGAGAAUAUCACCCUGAAGAUGCGGCGGCGGCAUCGUAGGGAGCUGCGAAUAUGAAAUAGCAGCUCCCCCCCUCCCCCUCCCUUCGCCGCGGCAGGAACCCCGCAUCCCGUCCAUCAUUCCGUCGACGCGAAUUGCACCGUCGGACCAUGUUGGCAUGUCCGGAUUGUUGAAUUAUCAUUUGUUUUGAUUUGUCUUGAACUGUUGAAUUCAAACAAUUUGUAUCGUAUGAUCGAUGUGCAUAAAGAACAUACCCGGAUAUCUACUCCCGGAUUUGUCAUGAAUAUAAAACAUGAUGAUAGUAGAUAUUCAUGGCCUAAAGAACAUACCCGGAUGAACAUGAUGAUAGUAGAUAUGCAUGCCUGCAGGAGCAGUUUCUGGGACACUCACGACGAUCGAUGCAUGCAUUAGCUCAUGGCCUUAAGAAUGCCGGACGAACCGCGGCGGCGCCAUGGAAGGAGGUGUCCUUGAGGUGGUCGGGCGCGCUCUCGUACGAGUGCCUCCUCGCCAACGACAGGAUGGUCUUGUCGGCGGCGACGAAGUAUGCCAUCCCGGCGACGGUGCAGACGAUGAGCGCCUGGCCGGUGGGGUUCAGGUUCGCCUUGGCCCACGGCAGCAUCCGGACGCUCGCCAGCUGAACGGCAUGAAUCAACAGUUACAUAUAUAUACUUACAUCUCGAUCAAACUAAUCUCCUUGAUUGACUACUUGAAACAGAGACUGAUUAACAUGCAUGAAGAU
rnacentral:lncRNA from 1 species